rnacentral:tRNA from 1 species
GGAUGCUUAGCUCAGUCGGAUAGAGCAACGGUCUUCUAAACCGUAGGUCAUUGGUUCGAAUCCAAUAGUGUCUACCA